CAGCUCUCCAAAACAAGCCAUGGGGGACAGAAGACCCAGUGGGAAUGAAGGUGGAGCCCACUGUGUUUAGAUGUGCUACCUAAAAGGUGGAUGCCAGAUGAGCUAUGCUGGUCCCGAGCCAUGUGAGUUAUCCACGCCGCACUGCACACCGUCAGAGCUGCCUGCAACUGCCUGCAAAGGUAGAAGAGAAGACGGCGAUACAUGAGCCAGACUACUGAUGAUUUCCAGGAGAAAAAUUUCAUGGCUGUACCAAAACGUUCAAAGAAGAAAGAUGAAAAAUCUUCAGGGCUGCAACUUGGGUCUCAUCUGGAAACUGCAGAAGUGGACAGAUUCAGACUUGGAUCGGUGUGGUCAGCUUGGAGGCAGUCUGAAUACAACUUGAAUAACAAUUUUAACUAAAUUGGUUUAGAAACCAAUUCAGGUCUAUAAACCACAUCAAACUAAAUCAAUUUAAGGUUCUCUUAACCUGAUUUAAGAGGGACUGCACCAGGAAGUUGCACAGGUUUAACUAAAUCUGUUUCUAAACCACCUGAGUUAACUCAGUGCUCAUCCUCUAUAAAUCAGCCAGUAGAUGCAGAAGUUACAGGGUCCAUAUUUUAUGGUUGCUCACUUGAUUCAUCUUGAUCUAUGUGCGCUGUACACAACUAGUUCAUUAGCAUGGAGCAGCGUGGAGUGGAAGCCACAAUUUUCUUUUUUCUUUUUAAAUGAGCUAAUAUUUGGAGAAGGAGAGAUCUGAGGCGCAUAUAACAGCUUUCUGCUGAAACCUUUAGGAGGAUGAAAGACACUGGAUGAUAAUGAAAUUGUAUUUUGAGCUUUUUUCCAUAAAACGAAGUAGUCAUUCUAGUGUGCGAAGUGCUAUAAUUAUAAAGCAAUUUGCCACUCUUAAUGGGAGGACUUUUAUUUCAUAAAAUAUUAACAAAAUAUAAUAUCGGUGCAAUAGGUUAGGAACAGUCUUAUUUUCUCCAUAAAAAGUCAAUUUGUAACCACUGCAGCCUGUCUUUCUCAAGAUGGCUAUAUUAGGGUAGCUGAUCCUUUUAUAGAAGUAUCAAAAUAUAAGCAUUAAAAUCAUCGCCACGGCUAUCUCAUUUACCUUUCUGCUUAGUAAUUAAAUAUUUUUCACUGUCUGCCUAUUUCACUUAGAGGCUGGUGUUGUUUCCAGAGGUGAUAGGCCCAAGGGAAGCAGCAUUUGAUCAAUGCCUAAAAAAGUAAAAUCAUUUGAGAUGAAACUACAUUUAAGAAAGGUCUGUUCUGUCAAGAUGAUAACCUCUCUCCCAAUGUGCCUAAAAAAGCAUUUCUCUUAAGCUAGCAAGUAGGGAAAAAUCAAAUUUUUUUUUCUUCCCUACAAUAAAAUGAGGGGAAGAAAGUGAGGGAGUGUCAGUAAUUAUGGGAUUUCAGUUCUGAUCUGGGCAGCUGCAAAGCAUAUGUAUCAUAGGAAGAACAAAGGACUGGAGAUGGCAGAAUUAACCAAGCCUUAAUGGAUUCACUCUUUCUCUUGCUCUCUUUGUUACUAUUUUUAAUUAUCCGGUAAAUUUUUUCCUUUUUUUUUCUUCUUUCUGUUAGUGUUCCAGUAUUCAACCAGUCAAGCAGAGCACGAUCAACUCCUAGGGAAGUCGUUAAUCAUACUCAUUUUGAUAGUGCUUCAAAAUCAAAUAAGGAUUGGAUCUCUCUAAAUAGUUGAGACAGAGAUCAUGGAGGAAACUACUUGAGCUGAAUGAUAAACAUUGUUUUUUUUUUUUUUUCUUAAAAUGAAGGAGACACACACACCCCAACCUCCCUAGCCUCUGUGCUCACGUUAGCUGGGACGUCAGCUAGGUAGAAAGGGUAGAGCAAGAGCAAUGUCACGAGACACAGAGCAAAACAUUCAGUUAACAAAAGAAUCAGAAAUAAAAUGAUCUCUUUCUCCAGCUUUCCAUUCUGUCUGAUCAGUCACUGAAAAUGAAUACACCAAACCUUAGUGCAGUAUAAAAUUGCUGCAGUGGAGCUGAUGAGAGAGAUGGGGUCUGCCUCUGCACUGUUCAGGCUGAGAAUAUGUCAGGGCUGAAGCUUGUGUGUUUGACAGAAGCUAAAGGGCCAGGAAACUGUCAUUUCAUUUGAGCAACCAGUUCAUUGGCUUCAGAGCGAUUGCACCAGUUUAGACUAAUGAUAAUCUGAUCCUAUAUCUGGUAAAGCGAAAGGUGGAGUUUUGUCAGGUUUCUCCACCAAAAAGACUCAAGAAAGAACCCCAGAAGACUCAAGGUGUUGGUGUUUUCUUGGGAAGCUAUGAAGCAUUGCUCUGCCUUUUUUUGGUUUUGGUUUUGUUUUCCCCUCAGUAUUAAUAAUGACUAUAUAGUAGUAGUAAAGCCUUCUGCAUUAAAAAACAAACAAAAAUAAAACCACCCAUAUGUGAAC